rnacentral:rRNA from 1 species
CAGUAGCCGCGGUAAUACGUAGGUGGCAAGCGUUGUCCGGAAUUAUUGGGCGUAAAGGGCUCGCAGGCGGUUUCUUAAGUCUGAUGUGAAAGCCCCCGGCUCAACCGGGGAGGGUCAUUGGAAACUGGGAAACUUGAGUGCAGAAGAGGAGAGUGGAAUUCCACAUGUAGCGGUGAAAUGCGUAGAGAUGUGGAGGAACACCAGUGGCGAAGGCGACUCUCUGGUCUGUAACUGACGCUGAGGAGCGAAAGCGUGGGGAGCGAACAGGAUUAGAGACCCCUGUAGUCCCUGUCUCUUAUAC